GAAUGCUGGCGGCGUGCUUUACACAUGCAAGUCGAGCGAUGAAACACCUUCGGGUGUGAAUUAGCGGCGAACGGGUGAGGAACACGUGAGAAAUCUGCCUUCAACACUGGGAUAACUCCGGGAAACCGGGGCUAAUACCGGAUAUGAAAUAUGCGGGCAUCCGCGGAUUUGGAAAGUUUUUCGGUUGUAGAUGAUCUCGCGGCCUAUCAGCUUGUGGUGAGGUAAUGGCUCACCAAGGCGACGACGGGUAGCCGGCCUGAGAGGGUGACCGGCCACACUGGGAUUGAGACACGGCCCAGACUCCUACGGGAGGCAGCAGUGGGGAAUAUUGGGCAAUGGAGGAAACUCUGACCCAGAGACGCCGCGUGCGGGAUGAAGGC
rnacentral:rRNA from 1 species